GGAGUUAGCCGGUGCUUCUUCUGUGAGUGAUGUCCUUCCUGCCGGUUAUUGACCCGCAGGCCUUCUUCCUCACUGAAAGUGCUUUACAACCCGAAGGCCUUCUUCACACACGCGGCAUGGCUGGAUCAGGGUUGCCCCCAUUGUCCAAUAUUCCCCACUGCUGCCUCCCGUAGGAGUCUGGGCCGUGUCUCAGUCCCAGUGUGGCUGAUCAUCCUCUCAGACCAGCUACGGAUCGUCGCCUUGGUGAGCCGUUACCUCACCAACCAGCUAAUCCGACAUAGGCUCAUCCGAUAGCGCGAGGCCCGAAGGUCCCCCGCUUUCCCCCGUAGGGCCGUAUGCGGUAUUAGCCUGGGGUUUCCCCAGGGUUAUCCCCCACUACCGGGCAGAUUCCUAUGCAUUACUCACCCGUCCGCCGCUCGCCACCAGGGAGCAAGCUCCCCGUGCUGCCGCUCGACUUGCAUGUGUUAGGCCUGCCGCCAGCGUUCAAUCUGAGCCAGANANACAACUCACACGUAGACGGCGGUCGUCGACGACGGCGCUAG
rnacentral:rRNA from 1 species